GGAGGGUGCGAACGUUGCUCGGAUUUACUGGGCGUAAAGCGCGUGUAGGCGGACUCGCAAGUCGGUUGUGAAAUCCCUGGGCUCAACCUAGGAACUGCAUCCGAAACUGCUUGUCUUGAGUAAUGGAGAGGGUGGCGGAAUUCCCGGUGUAGAGGUGAAAUUCGUAGAUAUCGGGAGGAACAUCAGUGGCGAAGGCGGCCACCUGGACAUUUACUGACGCUGAGACGCGAAAGCGUGGGGAGCAAACAGGGAUUAGAUACCCUGGUAGUCCACGCCGUAAACGAUGAGCACUAGGUGCAGCGGAUAUUGACCUCUGCUGUGCCGUAGCUAACGCGUUAAGUGCUCCGCCUGGGAGUACGGCCGCAAGGCUA
rnacentral:rRNA from 1 species